AGGACGAACGCUGGCGGCGCGCCUAACGACAUGCAAGUCGAGCGAGAACCAGGGCUUGCCCUGGGGAAAGCGGCGAACGGGUGCGUAACACGUGAGCAACCUGCCCCAAAGACCGGGACAACCCGAGGAAACUCGGACUAAUACCGGAUGCCCUCACCGGGCCGCAUGGUCUGGUGAGGAAAUGGAUUCCGCUUUGGGAUGGGCUCGCGGUCUAUCAGCUUGUUGGUGGGGUAACGGCCUACCAAGGCGACGACGGAUAGCUGGUCUGAGAGGACGAUCAGCCACACUGGGACUGAGACACGGCCCAGACUCCUACGGGAGGCAGCAGUGGGGAAUCUUGCGCAAUGGGGGAAACCCUGAUGCAGCAACGCCGCGUGAGGGACGACGGCCUUCGGGUUGUAAACCUCUUUAGUAGGGAAGAAGCGAAAGUGACGGUACCUGGCAGAAAAGCACCGGCUAACUACGCGCCAGCAGCCGC
rnacentral:rRNA from 1 species